GCUUUGAAGUGUGGACGCCAGUCUGCAUGGAGCCGGCCUUGAAAUACCACCCUUUAAUGUUUGAUGUUCUAACGUGGACCCGUGAUCCGGGUUGCGGACAGUGUCUGGUGGGUAGUUUGACUGGGGCGGUCUCCUCCUAAAGAGUAACGGAGGAGCACGAAGGUUGGCUAAUCCUGGUCGGACAUCAGGAGGUUAGUGCAAUGGCAUAAGCCAGCUUGACUGCGAGCGUGACGGCGCGAGCAGGUGCGAAAGCAGGUCAUAGUGAUCCGGUGGUUCUGAAUGGAAGGGCCAUCGCUCAACGGAUAAAAGGUACUCCGGGGAUAACAGGCUGAUACCGCCCAAGAGUUCAUAUCGACGGCGGUGUUUGGCACCUCGAUGUCGGCUCAUCACAUCCUGGGGCUGAAGUAGGUCCCAAGGGUAUGGCUGUUCGCCAUUUAAAGUGGUACGCGAGCUGGGUUUAGAACGUCGUGAGACAGUUCGGUCCCUAUCUGCCGUGGGCGCUGGAGAACUGAGGGGGGCUGCUCCUAGUACGAGAGGACCGGAGUGGACGCAUCACUGGUGUUCGGGUUGUCAUGCCAAUGGCACUGCCCGGUAGCUAAAUGCGGAAGAGAUAAGUGCUGAAAGCAUCUAAGCACGAAACUUGCCCCGA
rnacentral:rRNA from 1 species